rnacentral:tRNA from 2 species
GCCCCCAUCGUCUAGUGGCCCAGGAUAUCAGGUUCUCAUCCUGAAGACAGGGGUUCGAGUCCCCUUGGGGGUG